rnacentral:ncRNA from 1 species
AGGAGCCGUAUGAGGUGAAAAUCUUAUGUACGGUUCUGUAAAGGGAGAUUUUUCAUCGGAAAGAGGUCUACGAAGACUUUUGGGAAAACGUCGACGUUUGCUGGCUUAUUUGGC